rnacentral:rRNA from 1 species
CAAUAGCGUAUAUUAAAGUUGUUGCAGUUAAAAGCUCGUAGUUGGAUUUGUGGCGUACGGUGUGUUCCGGGCACUUGUUGUCUGAGUAACCUGCUGUUGCCAUCCUUGGGUGGAACCUGUGUGGCAUUAGGUUGUCGUGCAGGGGAUGCCCAUCAUUUACUGUGAAAAAAUUAGAGUGUUCAAAGCAGGCUUAUGCCGUUGAAUAUAUUAGCAUGGAAUAAUGAGAUAGGACUUUUUUGCUAUUUUGUUGGUUUGCGCAAAGAGGUAAUGAUUAAUAGGGACAGUUGGGGGUAUUCGUAUUCCAUUGUCAGAGGUGAAAUUCUUGGAUUUUUGGAAGACGAACUACUGCGAAAGCAUUUACCAAGGAUGUUUUCAUUAA